GUAGGGAAUAUUGGGCAAUGGAGGCAACUCUGACCCAGCCAUGCCGCGUGCAGGAUGACGGCCCUCUGGGUUGUAAACUGCUUUUAUACGGGAAGAAAAAAUACUACGUGUAGUAUACUGACGGUACCGUAAGAAUAAGGAUCGGCUAACUCCGUGCCAGCAGCCGCGGUAAUACGGAGGAUCCAAGCGUUGUCCGGAAUUAUUGGGUUUAAAGCGUGCGUAGGCGGAUCUUUAAGUCAGUGGUGAAAGCCUGCAGCUUAACUGUAGAAUUGCCAUUGAAACUGAAGAGCUUGAAUGUGGUUAAAGUAGGCGGAAUGUAUCAUGUAGCGGUGAAAUGCUUAGCUAUGAUACAGAACACCGAUAGCGAAGGCAGCUUGCUGAACCAUUAUUGACGCUGAGGCACGAAAGCGUGGGGAGCGAACAGGAUUAGAAACCCUUGUAGUCC
rnacentral:rRNA from 1 species